rnacentral:rRNA from 1 species
UACGAAGGGGGCUAGCGUUGUUCGGAAUCACUGGGCGUAAAGGGCGCGUAGGCGGCUUUAUAAGUCGGGGGUGAAAGCCUGUGGCUCAACCACAGAAUUGCCUUCGAUACUGUAGAGCUUGAGACCGGAAGAGGUAAGUGGAACUGCGAGUGUAGAGGUGAAAUUCGUAGAUAUUCGCAAGAACACCAGUGGCGAAGGCGGCUUACUGGUCCGGUUCUGACGCUGAGGCGCGAAAAGCGUGGGGAGCAAACAGGG